UUCAAAUUGACUUCUACAGCAUUCACAUUGAGAAAACAUUCCAUUUGAUGAUUCUUUUAUUUUUCUGAUUCUUUAUUGGUUUACGGAAUUAAAUUGUCAGAAUUGACAGCUUUUUAUGACAAUUUUUAAAUAAAGGAAAAAAUGUCGAUUAAAAAAUUGACUGGAGAGAAAUAAUUUUUAAAACAACAAUAAAAAUUUAUCAAUGACGCUAAAAAAAAUCUCAAAUUUAAAAUCUGGAGCUUAAAACUGUGAAAAAUGGUUUUACGUGUCAAAAUAUUUCAAAGAUCGGAAAAAUUGAAGAAACAUCUUUGGUUCAACCAGGAAGUGAUAGUUUCAUUGAUGAUUCCAGUUCACUUCUAACUACAACUUUAACUUUUCAAGAAAGUCUUGAAAGUGGGCUAAUUAAUGUUGAUCAAUCAAAGGAUAUUUUUGAAAAAAUAAAAUUUAGGAAUAAUAAUACCAGAAGUCGAGUUUAUAGAUACCGUAAAAAAAAAUCCUUUAUCGAUGGAAAUUUUAGUGUUCCUGCCGGAGUUAAUUCUUAUCAUGUAGCUUCUUCCAAUGCCAGAAAAUUUGCAGGUCCUCCUCGACUAAUCUUUAUUUGGCCUCAAAAAGCGAAGCGUAGUAAAUUAUUAAGAAUUCUCGGACCUUUGAUGCACGGAAUUUUAAUUAGUUUAAUGUUCAUGGAUUCCAUUCAUCUAUGGCCAGGAGAAUUUUUGCCAAAAUCUUUACCUUCAAUAGUUCCAAUUCCAAAACCUCCGAUUAAAUGUAAUGUAAUUGAACCUCGAUGGUUUGACAAGGAUUAAUUUACUUUGAAAUCUGAAACAAAUAAAAAAAUUAAUAUUUUUUUUUAAUGAAACUAAAUUAUUGUGAAAAAACUAAAAAUAAAUAUUGUUAUAACUAUUAAUAACAUUUUUCAAAUGUA